CCUGAUAACGUUACCUCGUCUACAAUUUAUUGAGUCGGAUAGGGAUGAACAUAACUUUCUUUCUUCGAGAAAGAAAUUUUGUUAUAAAUCCAAACUACUUAUAUUAAUAUUUAUAUUUCUACUUUGAAUGAAUAUUUGGGUAGAAAUUAUGAACAAAAUUAUUGUGAUUAUGGAAAUGUAACAGUAUUAUGAAUGCGGUGUCUACUUUUAGGAUUACAAAAACACAUGAUCAAAUUAUAAAAAAUCAAGGUAUUAACUAAUGAUUAAUAAUGAAUAAAUGAAUACAAAAAAAUACAAAAGUAUCUUCUUAAAACUCUGUCUAACAUAUCCAAAAAGGCGUCGCAUCGAAGUUCUUCUUGCACCCCGUCGGAGGUCGCCACAAGCAUCGAAGGGGGACGAAGGGUUUGUACCAUACUUAGGGAGACUUUGAUGCACAACGAAGGAAACACAAGGAAGGAAAGAAGGAAGGAGUCGACGAUCGUUCGUUCGUUCGUUCGUUCAUUCGUUCGUCCCAUUUCGACGAAUUUCUACCACUAAAGGAAAGUUUCCUUUCCAACUAUACCGAAACCAAAUGUUCCCUGCAACCGAACGGGAUCUAAGGAUCUACUUUUAAACAGAGGAUUCGCGAAGGGUGUUGUUCUGCCUGCUGAGGGUGACUCCAAGGGGACUCGUGAAGGUACGAGAAA
rnacentral:lncRNA from 1 species